rnacentral:rRNA from 1 species
UACGUAGGGGGCUAGCGUUGUCCGGAAUCACUGGGCGUAAAGGGUGCGUAGGCGGGUCUUUAAGUCAGGGGUGAAAUCCUGGAGCUCAACUCCAGAACUGCCUUUGAUACUGAGGAUCUUGAGUUCGGGAGAGGUGAGUGGAACUGCGAGUGUAGAGGUGAAAUUCGUAGAUAUUCGCAAGAACACCAGUGGCGAAGGCGGCUCACUGGCCCGAUACUGACGCUGAGGCACGAAAGCGUGGGGAGCAAACAGG